AAGAUGACGAAGCAUGUUUGUUGUUUGUAGUACUACCAUUGUUUUUCUUCUUUUUGCUUUUACUCUUGCUCUGU
rnacentral:ribozyme from 12 species